CCUACGGGAGGCAGCAGUGGGGAAUUUUGGACAAUGGGCGCAAGCCUGAUCCAGCCAUGCCGCGUGAGUGAAGAAGGCCUUCGGGUUGUAAAGCUCUUUCGGCCGGGAAGAAAUCGCAUGGGUUAAUACCCUGUGUGGAUGACGGUACCGGAAUAAGAAGCACCGGCUAACUACGUGCCAGCAGCCGCGGUAAUACGUAGGGUGCGAGCGUUAAUCGGAAUUACUGGGCGUAAAGCGUGCGCAGGCGGUUUUGUAAGACAGGCGUGAAAUCCCCGGGCUUAACCUGGGAACUGCGUUUGUGACUGCAAGACUAGAGUACGGCAGAGGGGGGUGGAAUUCCACGUGUAGCAGUGAAAUGCGUAGAGAUGUGGAGGAACACCAAUGGCGAAGGCAGCCCCCUGGGUCGAUACUGACGCUCAUGCACGAAAGCGUGGGUAGCAAACAGGAUUAGAUACCCUGGUAGUCCACGCCCUAAACUAUGUCAACUAGGUGUUGGGUGGGUAAAACCAUUUAGUACCGUAGCUAACGCGUGAAGUUGACCGCCUGGGGAGUACGGCCGCAAGGUUAAAACUCAAAGGAAUUGACGG
rnacentral:rRNA from 1 species